CGACUUUACAGUCGUGAGGAAGGUGGUAGUGUUAAUAGCACUAUCAUUUGACGUUAGCGACAGAAGAAGCACCGGCUAACUCCGUGCCAGCAGCCGCGGUAAUACGGAGGGUGCGAGCGUUAAUCGGAAUUACUGGGCGUAAAGCGCAUGCAGGUGGUUUGUUAAGUCAGAUGUGAAAGACCCGGGGCGUCAACCUCGGAAUAGCAUUUGAAACUGGCAGACUAGAGUACUGUAGAGGGGGGUAGGAAUUUCAGGUGUAGCGGUGAAAUGCGUAGAGAUCUGAAGGAAUACCGGUGGCGAAGGCGGCCCCCUCGGACAGAUACUGACACUCAGAUGCGAAAGCGUGGGGAGCAAACAGGAUUAGAUACCCUGGUAG
rnacentral:rRNA from 1 species